UACGGAGGGUGCAAGCGUUAUCCGGAUUUAUUGGGUUUAAAGGGUCCGUAGGCGGAUGUGUAAGUCAGUGGUGAAAUCUCACAGCUUAACUGUGAAACUGCCAUUGAUACUGCAUGUCUUGAGUAAGGUAGAAGUGGCUGGAAUAAGUAGUGUAGCGGUGAAAUGCAUAGAUAUUACUUAGAACACCAAUUGCGAAGGCAGGUCACUAUGUCUUAACUGACGCUGAUGGACGAAAGCGUGGGGAGCGAACAGG
rnacentral:rRNA from 1 species